rnacentral:rRNA from 1 species
GACGAACGCUGGCGGCGUGCUUAACACAUGCAAGUCGAACGGAAAGGCCCUGCUUUUGUGGGGUGCUCGAGUGGCGAACGGGUGAGUAACACGUGAGUAACCUGCCCUUGACUUUGGGAUAACUUCAGGAAACUGGGGCUAAUACCGGAUAGGAGCUCCUGCUGCAUGGUGGGGGUUGGAAAGUUUCGGCGGUUGGGGAUGGACUCGCGGCUUAUCAGCUUGUUGGUGGGGUAGUGGCUUACCAAGGCUUUGACGGGUAGCCGGCCUGAGAGGGUGACCGGCCACAUUGGGACUGAGAUACGGCCCAGACUCCUACGGGAGGCAGCAGUGGGGAAUAUUGCACAAUGGGCGGAAGCCUGAUGCAGCAACGCCGCGUGCGGGAUGACGGCCUUCGGGUUGUAAACCGCUUUCGCCUGCGACGAAGCGUGAGUGACGGUAAUGGGUAAAGAAGCACCGGCUAACUACGUGCCAGCAGCCGCGGUGAUACGUAGGGUGCGAGCGUUGUCCGGAUUUAUUGGGCGUAAGGGCUCGUAGGUGGUUGAUCGCGUCGGAAGUGUAAUCUUGGGGCUUAACCCUGAGCGUGCUUUCGAUACGGGUUGACUUGAGGAAGGUAGGGGAGAAUGGAAUUCCUGGUGGAGCGGUGGAAUGCGCAGAUAUCAGGAGGAACACCAGUGGCGAAGGCGGUUCUCUGGGCCUUUCCUGACGCUGAGGAGCGAAAGCGUGGGGAGCGAACAGGCUUAGAUACCCUGGUAGUCCACGCUGUAAACGGUGGGUACUAGGUGUGGGGUCCAUUCCACGGGUUCCGUGCCGUAGCUAACGCUUUAAGUACCCCGCCUGGGGAGUACGGCCGCAAGGCUAAAACUCAAAGGAAUUGACGGGGCCCCGCACAAGCGGCGGAGCAUGCGGAUUAAUUCGAUGCAACGCGUAGAACCUUACCUGGGUUUGACAUGGAUCGGGAGCGCUCAGAGAUGGGUGUGCCUCUUUUGGGGUCGGUUCACAGGUGGUGCAUGGCUGUCGUCAGCUCGUGUCGUGAGAUGUUGGGUUAAGUCCCGCAACGAGCGCAACCCUUGUUCACUGUUGCCAGCACGUUAUGGUGGGGACUCAGUGGAGACCGCCGGGGUCAACUCGGAGGAAGGUGGGGAUGACGUCAAGUCAUCAUGCCCCUUAUGUCCAGGGCUUCACGCAUGCUACAAUGGCUGGUACAGAGAGUGGCGAGCCUGUGAGGGUGAGCGAAUCUCGGAAAGCCGGUCUCAGUUCGGAUUGGGGUCUGCAACUCGACCUCAUGAAGUCGGAGUCGCUAGUAAUCGCAGAUCAGCAACGCUGCGGUGAAUACGUUCCCGGGGCU